GUCAAUCUACCCUUAGGACUGGGACAACCCCGGGAAACUGGGGAUAAUCCCGGAUAGGCGGGGGUUCUGGAAAGAGUCCCUCGCCAAAAUGUUACGGCGCCUAAGGAUGAGACUGCGGCCUAUUAGGUUGUUGGUGGGGUAAAGGCCCACCAAGCCAGAGAUGGGGACGGGCCCUGAGAGGGGAAGCCCGGAGAUGGGGACUGAGACAAGGCCCCAGGCCCUACGGGGCGCAGCAGGUGCGAAAAUUCCGCAAUGCGUGCAAGCGCGACGGAGUGACCCCCAGUGCCGAUGGUCUAACGAUCGUCGGCUUUUCUGGAGUGUAAAAAGCUCUGGGUAAUAAGGGCCGGGUAAGACUGGUGCCAGCCGCCGCGGUAACACCAGCGGCUCAAGUGGUAGCCGAUUUUAUUGGGCCUAAAGCGUCCGUAGCCGGACUAGCAAGUCUUUUGUGAAAUCGGACGGCUUAAUCGUUCGGCUUGCAAGGGAAACUGCCAGUCUUGGGAUCGGUAGGCGCCAAGGGUACUCCAGGGGUAGCGGUGAAAUGCUAUAAUCCCUGGGGGACCGCCAGUGGCGAAAGCGCUUGGCGAGGCCGAAUCCGACGGUGAGGGACGAAGGCCAGGGGCGCGAACCGGAUUAGAUACCCGGGUAGUCCUGGCUGUAAAGGAUGUGGACUAGUGCUUGGUGUUCCUCGAGAACACUAGGUGCCGAAGGGAAGCCGUUAAGUCCACCGCCUGGGAAGUACGGUCGCAAGGCUGAAACUUAAAGAAAUUGGCGGGGG
rnacentral:rRNA from 1 species